rnacentral:lncRNA from 1 species
ACCUAUAACUAUUGUCGUUACUCCUCCUCUGGCAAGGUUUUUGGCUAGGAGAGGGAUUAUCAAGAAUGGUGUAUGAUUCUUGAUUUGUAUUUUUUUUUAGGGGCUGUUUUACCUCUUUGCUUCUCUAUUUAGUACGUUUUCUAAUUGUUAAUGUUGAACGGUAUAGAAAAGGAGAGGAAAUUUGGAAUAAGUUUAUAAAAUUUGAAGUGGG